rfam:Stegodyphus mimosarum contig105153, whole genome shotgun sequence.
GCCUUCGUGGUGUAGUGGUCUGCAUGCUUGACGUGUAACCGAGAGGUCCGUGGUUCGAUUCCCGGCGAAGGCG